UGAAUGCACAACGUGCUUACUUACUUUCCAACAGGCUUCAUAUUUACAAGAAAAUUAUUCAUUAAAUUAUAAAAUUAUUAUAAAAUUAUUCAUGUAAAUAUCAUUCGCAAUAUUUUAUUCUUAUAAGCUUUAGUUAUUAACAUUACAAGUACUUAAUUACAUUCAUGUCAUAACUCCAUAAUAUUCCGCGAUAGAAGCAUAAAAUAAUAAAAUACAUGACAACUUAGUUACAUGUUUUAACCAGAACACGGUCCAGUUCUAUUCGUACGGAGAUUUGAGAAAAUCGAAUUGAUUAUGAAUCCUCUCCAGAGGGCAGAAGUUCCGCGGCUUAAUAUUAUUUCGGUAGAGACUGUGCGAAGAGUGGUGGAUAUAACUGUCACCGAAGACAAUUUAUGUUAAUGACUGUUCCUGGCCCGAGGAGGGACGAGGCCGGAUCAUGAAACAGUCUGCAAGUCUCCGUGGAGCCGAUCGGACACGCCACUGUGUGCUGGUGUAACUAUGCCGGACUUCCCCCUCUCAAGUCCUGAAGCAACGCCACCCCGCUGUAUACUGUUCGUUUCAACCCCACGAUGGCGACGCCCAGCGUCGAUCCAGCUGUCUACCACGCAAACUCGCCGAAUCCACGUCCCAUGGCGCUUGUGCGUGACCCGUGAUCGUCUACAAAUGUCGCGUUGUGCUUGCAUCGUGUUCAAACGUUUCCUUAAAAUGUCAUUUUAAAUAAUCAAAUCGUUGAUUAAUAGUAAUGAAAAAUCUGUAUUUAACGAUUUUGUCGAUGUGAUUAAUAUUUCAUGGUGUAAUUAAGGCAAGAGAAGAGAAUGAUAUGGUGUGACGUUUAAGGGUGUCCUCUGAUCUUGUGUGCUGAUAAGAUACAAAAUGGAUGUCAUUGGGUGGACGAAGAAAUUGUUCUACGCUGAUCUUUUGGCGAUGAUAUGCAUGUUCAGUUGGUAGAAAUAGAAGAGUACGAAGAUACCUUAAGAGGUCACAAUAAUUACGUCGAUGUUAAUGCAUGUGUUUUCAACCCUCAGAGCGCAGACUCGCGGAAAAUCCAUUGCUACCAUUUCACUUCAGACGAGACCAGGCAUAGUGGAAAAUCUGACGGAACGUCUAGCAAAGUUUUAGUUAUGUAUUGGAAACUAUUAUCAAAGGGCCGAUGUUUUUCGUUCCAGUGAGUAUACGAUCUCUAAUUUAUAUGAUCGAUGAUCGAUACUUCUUGCAUUUAAAUCUUAAUCCUAUUGGGCUAUAUAGCGGCUGCUUAUUUACUCUAAAGAAUUACAUUUUUUCUGAUGCUUUCGUUGUUAUCAAAAUAGAAUUUAUUUUAUAAUUUACAGGUUCAGGUAGAAUUUAUUUUAAGUUAUUACGGAAGUAUAUAAUUAUCAUAUUUUAUCGUUACAACCUGUUUUUACAAAAUUUAACAUAUCAUAAACUCUACAGUAUUUUCUCUACUGAAAUCCGAUUUGUUGUAACACCAAAUCAAUAUCAUUCAUUGCAACUAAUAUAGUUCCAUUGUUGUGAAUAAUCAUCUACAGUAACGAGUGUUUAACAUUUAUCUAAUUGAAAUACAUUCAAAUCUAAUUAUAAAUUUGUUUUUAUAGUCUAGCAAUCAAUUACCGUUAGCUAAUUAAUUAGCUAAGACUUUGUAGCCUAUCAAUUAAUUACAAUAAAGUAUAAUUCAGUCGAAUCAUAAAAAAUAUCACCUCCAAUGUGAACGUUCUUGUACACUAAAUAUAUAUAUUCUUUAGAUCAAAUAUCCAAGUCUUCUGCUAUUGCUCAUUUAAUUUUUUAUACAACCUCGUGCAUUCAGGAUUUAUUCUACGAUAAAGUUCUACCUUGUGACACAAAGAAUACCAGAUAAACCGAGAUCCUUGUAAAUCUUUGCGAAAGAUGAAUCGUCCGGUGAGUCAAAUCUCGUCGUCGUCGGAUCGGGGACCGGUUGGUCGUUACGUUUCUAUUUGGAACAGGCGAAAAGUCGGCUCAGUGGCGCCGACGGUGGUGGAUUUCAUGAGCUUCGGCCAACAUCUCGGAAUCUGGCGGGACGCUGAUCGAUCUGCUCCUCAACCACGGCACACUUCGGUUUCGGUUCGUUUCGCAACCAACGAAAAGGUGACCGCGGAAUUAUACGCCGACCCGAUCGAUCCACCACCCCCUGCGCGAUACCUCUUUCUCACUUUUCCCCCGAUAAUUUCGCGGUUUACAGUGGCCAUUCUUUUACAAGUUACUCAGUUACUUAGUUCGUUACUCAGGAAACACUAUUCAUUUCCUGUAGCGUUAUUUUUAUUUUAUUUGUAACAGAGUUAGACGUUGUUUUUAAAAUAUUUGUACGAAACUCGAUGUGUCAAUUUUUCAGCUUAUUGUUGAAUACGAAGGAUACUAACGAUGUCAUCUAGUCAGACGUACAAUAGAUUAGGUGCUUUGAACAGGUUAACAAAACAAAAGAAUGUGUCAAUACCAUCUAUUGACAAAAUCCGCAAUCACUUAGUUCCCAACCCAAUAUAUCGAUCAAUGAUACAUUUUUUUGUUUCUUAAUCCAUCCACGUGUUCGGUUACUUUCAACGCUUACUUGUAUGUAAAUAUAUAGAACGCGAGAGAAGCUUUGAAGUAAAAAAUAACAAGUUAUUGUGUUUACAGUUACUGCAAUUACUACCAAUCUGUUCUUCACAUUCGACUUCAGGAAGACACAAAGUUAUUUUCAUUAUUGCCAGUAUCAUAGUCGAUCUUCGCUCGACCCGAAUACGACCGAACUUAUCCGUGAUAUUUUUCAAGAUAAUGUGUGAGUUAAUCUUCCGUGGCGCUGUGAGUCUCCGAACAAUGGCUGGCCAUGUUUGCAGAAUGUAACUGUGACCCAUGCAAUAGCAGAGUACUUCAAAAUUCGCAAAAUAUAAUAAAACCAUCUUCCGGUCAUAAUCUUCCAAAUGGAGGAAUGAUAAGUAUAUCUGAUUUAAAUAGUAUUGCCUUGAUAGUUUUAUUUUUGUCUUAUAUCUUCUUUAUGACGUCCAUAAUGAUUUCUCUUAGAACGAGUUUCCAACUACAAAAAACAUUUGCAACGCCCUACGUGACUGUAUUUAAUGAGCCGUUUUCGAGUCUGUUCAAGAAAACGACAAUAUUCGGUAGAUGCGUAAGCACAAGGGCAAACCGGCUAUAACUCCAAUCAAGGACUCACUCGGCUCGGUCCACAUUCCACGUCUAGUCCACCGAUCCCUAAACUCGUCGGCACGUUCCACGUUAUGGUCCAUCUUCGUCCUGGCUUCAUUAUUUCACAGUUCUCGAUGAUUCUUUUCUGGACAUUGUGACCUGAUUCUUACAGUGUCAGUUUAUUUGAAGAAGAGUAAUAGAAGCUAUUAAAAGUUGAAACUAACUUAGGCUUAACGAAAAUAACUUGAGGAUCAGAUUAUGAAAAUGAAAUAAACAGAAUCCGAGGGA